rnacentral:lncRNA from 1 species
UGGGAAAAUAGACGCAUUUAAUAUUAGAAGCAUCAGAAAAAAAGGAAAACAACACAUUUUUUCCCCCUAGAACUACACAGGGAGGUGGGGGAGGAAGAUGGGGAAAUAGAAGGAGAAACUGACUAAGGACCUUGUUUGGGGGAGAUAAAAGGUAUAAAGGACACAGAGGUAAAGACGUUCCGGAAAGCUCUAGAGGAGCCGCCCUCUCCUGUCUCGUCACCAUUUUUAAAGGGAUCUGAUCCUCGCAAUAGCUCUUGGUAUAUGCUGGAGGUAAUUGCCUAGAUUUCCCGCGUUCCUGUCCUCUGCGAGUCUCUGGCUUGUGACAGCCACUGUGACUCUUCUGAUGCACUUGUCAGCUAGAGGACCGCGUGAGAUGCAAACACAAAAUCAAGGGGCGCCUAAUGUCUGACGAGGCGCAUUCCUGGGCGCAGUGGGAGCCUCGACCUUUGUGGAGGAGAAUGUGCAAAGCACUCUUGAGCAGUUCUCAUAGACACUUGGUCUCUGCAGAUUCGGCUCAAAGGAGACUAGUCAUCCAGGACGCAAAAGAUGAA